rnacentral:rRNA from 1 species
AGAGCGAACGCUGGCGGCAGGCUUAACACAUGCAAGUCGAGCGGGCGUAGCAAUACGUCAGCGGCAGACGGGUGAGUAACGCGUGGGAACGUACCUUUUGGUUCGGAACAACACAGGGAAACUUGUGCUAAUACCGGAUAAGCCCUUACGGGGAAAGAUUUAUCGCCGAAAGAUCGGCCCGCGUCUGAUUAGCUAGUUGGUGAGGUAACGGCUCACCAAGGCGACGAUCAGUAGCUGGUCUGAGAGGAUGAUCAGCCACAUUGGGACUGAGACACGGCCCAAACUCCUACGGGAGGCAGCAGUGGGGAAUAUUGGACAAUGGGCGCAAGCCUGAUCCAGCCAUGCCGCGUGAGUGAUGAAGGCCCUAGGGUUGUAAACCUCAAUCAAGCAGGGACGAUAAUGACGGUACCUGCAGUGAAGCUCCGGCCAACUACGUGCCAGCAGCCGC